rnacentral:rRNA from 1 species
CAGUCGCCACGGGAAAACGUAGGUGGCAAGCGUUGUCCGGAAUUAUUGGGCGUAAAGCGCGCGCAGGCGGAUAGGUCAGUCUGUCUUAAAAGUUCGGGGCUUAACCCCGUGAUGGGAUGGAAACUGCCAAUCUAGAGUAUCGGAGAGGAAAGUGGAAUUCCUAGUGUAGCGGUGAAAUGCGUAGAUAUUAGGAAGAACACCAAUGGCGAAGGCGACUUUCUGGACGAAAACUGACGCUGAGGCGCGAAAGCGUGGGGAGCAAACAGGAUUAGAUACCCGGGUAGUCCCUGUCUCUUAUACA